CUCGCAUUGAUGACAGUUCCUCAUUGAAUUGAAGCGAUUCAUCCUGUAAUAAAUAUUCGAUAAAUAAAUAAUAAAUAAAAUAAAGCCUAUAACGUCUCAAUCGCGAAAACGAAGCUCCAUAGGCAUAGCCAAGGUCACGUAUACUUUCCGGAAUGGUGUACUAUAUAUACGCAAUUAAUUAUGUUCACAUCGUAUCAUCGUAUCAGUGAAAAAUGCAGCUUGCCUGCAGUCCUUUCACGUCUGCAGUAAAAAGUAACAUGUCGGUAAAGUAAUAACCAGGGACGCCGGAACGAUAAUAGGGCAAAGGGGGGCGGACGCACACCAAGGGCACCUCUAUAGAGCAAAACUUCAAAAUCUACCGGAAAUAUUUUUUUUCAAUGGAAAUUUUUGGGC